GUGCCCACUUUGGCACUAUAUAUACUAGAACUAUACAGGAAAGAUUAACAUGACCUCUGUGCAAAGAUGACACAAAUUUAUGAAGAAUUCCUCUAUUUUGUU